GGUAUUCAUAAAUAUAGGGAGAAGCGGAGAAAUUUAGGUUAAAUUUUACGAUAAUAAAUGUAGGACAAGGUCUCUGUAGGGAAGCAGUGGAAGAUUGUAACCUAUGUGUGAACUCCCAAACCCAAUGGGAAAGAGAACAAACUGUUGCCUCGGCGGGAUAUCUGCCCUGGAUGUGUGGCAGCACCGGACCCAGGAGCCCGCCGGAGGACCAACCAAAAUUCUUAUUGUAUACCCCCUCGCGGGUUUUUUAUAAUCUGAGCCUUCUGGGCGCCUCUUGUAUGGAAGUAAAAAAUGAAUCAAAGUAAUCAACAACGGAUUUAUUGGUUAAGGCAAUGAUGAAGAAGGCAGCGAAAUGAGAUAAGUAAUGGCAAUUGCAGAAAACAGGGAAUCAAAGAAUCUUUGAACGCACAUUGCGCCCGCCAGUAUUCUGGCGGGCAGACCUGUCCGAGCGUCAUUUCAACCCUCGAACCCCUCCGGGGGGUCGGCGUUGGGGAUCGGCCCUCAUAAAGCAGGGGCUGUUUCAGAAAUACAGUGGCGGGGGGGGCGCAAAGUGGCGGGGGGUGGAAGUAAAAGUCGUAACAGGUUAUAACAAAAAGCGGAUUGUGGAAGUAAAAGUCUUGACGGGGCACUCNACACCACCGNGNACCCNUAANNAANUANNNC
rnacentral:rRNA from 1 species